rnacentral:rRNA from 1 species
CGUAGGGGGCAAGCGUUGUCCGGAAUCAUUGGGCGUAAAGAGCGUGUAGGCGGCCCGGUAAGUCCGCUGUGAAAGUCCAGGGCUCAACCCUGGAAUGCCGGUGGAUACUGUCGGGCUCGAGUCCGGAAGAGGUGAGUGGAAUUCCUGGUGUAGCGGUGAAAUGCGCAGAUAUCAGGAGGAACACCAAUGGCGAAGGCAGCUCACUGGGACGGUACUGACGCUGAGACGCGAAAGCGUGGGGGAGCAAACAGGAUUAGAUACCCUGGUAGUCCACGCCGUAAACGAUGGUCACUAGGUGUGGGGGGGUGUCGACUCCCUCCGUGCCGGAGCUAACGCAUUAAGUGACCCGCCUGGGGAGUACGGCCGCAAGGCUA